AUUGAACGCUGGCGGCAUGCUUUACACAUGCAAGUCGAACGGUAACAGGCCGCAAGGUGCUGACGAGUGGCGAACGGGUGAGUAAUGCACCGGAACGUGCCCAGUCGUGGGGGAUAACGCAGCGAAAGCUGCGCUAAUACCGCAUACGAUCUCUGGAUGAAAGCGGGGGACCGAAAGGCCUCGCGCGAUUGGAUCGGCCGAUGUCAGAUUAGGUAGUUGGUGGGGUAAAGGCCCACCAAGCCAACGAUCUGUAGCUGGUCUGAGAGGACGACCAGCCACACUGGGACUGAGACACGGCCCAGACUCCUACGGGAGGCAGCAGUGGGGAAUUUUGGACAAUGGGCGCAAGCCUGAUCCAGCAAUGCCGCGUGCAGGAAGAAGGCCUUCGGGUUGUAAACUGCUUUUGUACGGGACGAAACGGUCCGGGUUAAUACCCUGGGCUAAUGACGGUACCGUAAGAAUAAGCACCGGCUAACUACGUGCCAGCCGCCGCUGUAACAC
rnacentral:rRNA from 1 species